GCCCUGAUAGUAUAAACAUUACUCUGGUCUUGUAAACCAAAAAUGAAGCUUCCAGCUUCUCAGGACA
rnacentral:tRNA from 1 species